UACGUAGGGCGCAAGCGUUGUCCGGAAUUAUUGGGCGUAAAGAGCUCGUAGGCGGUCUGUCACGUCGGCUGUGAAAACCCGAGGCUCAACCUCGGGCCUGCAGUCGAUACGGGCAAACUAGAGUACUGCAGGGGAGACUGGAAUUCCUGGUGUAGCGGUGAAAUGCGCAGAUAUCAGGAGGAACACCGGUGGCGAAGGCGGGUCUCUGGGCAGUAACUGACGCUGAGGAGCGAAAGCGUGGGGAGCGAACAGG
rnacentral:rRNA from 1 species